GGCAAUGUGGUGCAAUGGCUAACACAUUAAGAAAACGGCAUUAUUGUCAUAUUCUUGAAGGUCCCGAUUCGAUACCAGGCAUUGCCA